AGGACGAACGCUGGCGGCGUGCUUAACACAUGCAAGUCGAGCGGAAAGGCCCUUCGGGGUACUCGAGCGGCGAACGGGUGAGUAACACGUGAGCAACCUGCCCUUGGCUCUGGGAUAGCCUCCGGAAACGGGGAUUAAUACCGGACAUUCACUGAUCCCUGCAUGGGGGGAUGGUGGAAAGUUUUUCGGCCAGGGAGGGGCUCGCGGCCUAUCAGCUUGUUGGCGGGGUAACGGCCCACCAAGGCGACGACGGGUAGCCGGCCUGAGAGGGCGAUCGGCCACACUGGGACUGAGACACGGCCCAGACUCCUACGGGAGGCAGCAGUGGGGAAUAUUGCACAAUGGGCGCAAGCCUGAUGCAGCGACGCCGCGGUGGGGGAUGAAGGCCUUCGGGUUCGUAAACCCCUUUCACCAGGAACGAAUUCAGACGGUACCUGGGGAAGAAGCGCCGGCUAACGUACGCGCCAGCACGCCGC
rnacentral:rRNA from 1 species